rnacentral:rRNA from 1 species
UACAGAGGUCUCAAGCGUUGUUCGGAAUCACUGGGCGUAAAGCGUGCGUAGGCUGUUUCGUAAGUCGUGUGUGAAAGGCGCGGGCUCAACCCGCGGACGGCACAUGAUACUGCGAGACUAGAGUAAUGGAGGGGAACCGGAAUUCUCGGUGUAGCAGUGAAAUGCGUAGAUAUCGAGAGGAACACUCGUGGCGAAGGCGGGUUCCUGGACAUUAACUGACGCUGAGGCACGAAGGCCAGGGAGCGAAAGGG